GUCGAGAAUUUUUCACAAUGGGCGAAAGCCUGAUGGAGCGACGCCGCGUGGGGGAUGAAUGGCUUCGGCCCGUAAACCCCUGUCAUUCGCGAGCAAUGCCUGUCCAAUAACACUGGGCAGGUUGAUCGUAGCGAAAGAGGAAGGGACGGCUAACUCUGUGCCAGCAGCCGCGGUAAUACAGAGGUCCCAAGCGUUGUUCGGAUUCACUGGGCGUAAAGGGUGCGUAGGUGGCGUGAUAAGUUCGAUGUGAAAUCUCCGGGCUCAACCCGGAAACGGCAUUGAAUACUAUUUCGCUAGAGGGUUGGAGGGGGGACUGGAAUUCUCGGUGUAGCAGUGAAAUGCGUAGAUAUCGAGAGGAACACCGGUGGCGAAGGCGAGUCCCUGGACAACUCCUGACACUGAGGCACGAAAGCUAGGGGAGCAAACAGGAUUAGAUACCCCUGUAGUCC
rnacentral:rRNA from 1 species